UGAGACUGUCACGGGAGCUCAGAGAAAGCCCCGGGGAAGGCCGGGCGGGCAUCAGACCGCGGGGAGAGCGGCUCCGGGUGUCAAACGCGAGCCUCGAGCCUCUAUUUUUCUGUUGUUUUGAGUCGGUGGAUCAAUUGUCAUCAGUCCUGUCACCUAAGAAGCAAUGAUUCCGAUUCAUCUUGGCAUCUGAUUUUAUUCUAAUGGGUUAAAUUGGGUUCACUUUUUCAAUUAUCCCAGGUUUGACUGCGUAGUAUUGCAUGACAACUCACAAUUUCAUCGGGUUUGGCAAAGCGAGCGUGCUCCGCGAGUACGUAUAUCAUAUCACAUCAGAUCAGGCUGAAGUUUGCUGUUUAGCGACUCCAUUCGCGAGUCGCUUUUGGUAGAAGUGGGAAGGGUUGCUGCAGUCCGCGGCUGGUUCGGCACGAUUCGGAACAAAAAAAAAACCGCGGCGAGAUGGCAACAAGACGGGGUUCGCCGCUCGGCUAUGAAUGAGCACAGAACGAACCGAGCGACACGAUGGGGAACCGCUCCGCUCGCCGCAAUAUUUUUAGCAGCCUCUCAGCCCUCGCCUUUUUUUAAUUUCCUAAUAUGUUCUUUGCUUUAUUAGUUUUAUUUACAACCGGCUCCCAUUAACACCUCACCUGAUUACUGAGGAGCUGAGACAGCUAAGCAGGAAAACCCAGCAAAGCGGCCAAAGCUGAGAGGGAUCCUCCGCCAGGAACGAGGACCCACCUCCAUCUCCCGGCUGAGCACCGCGCCUCUCCCCACCCAGACCGCAGCCCUCGCCGCUCAUAAAGGAGGGCACAGUUUGGGAAGAAGCUCCUAAGGUCGCAAGUCCAGAAUGGUCGCUCCCCCAGGUGCUUUCGCAGUCAGCACUCGGUGCGGGUGUUUUAAGCUGGACAAACACCAGCCUGGGAAGUCCGAGCCGUUCUGUUUAAUAAAUACGGAG
rnacentral:lncRNA from 1 species